UCCUGAGAUAGCUCAGUCGGUAGAGCACAAGGCUCUUAAUCUCAGGAUCCUGGGUUUGAGCCCCAAACUGGGCA